GCCGAGAUAGCUCAGUUGGUAGAGCACGCGACUGAAAAUUGCGGUGUCGACAGUUCGAUCCUGUCUCUCGGCACAA
rnacentral:tRNA from 1 species